AUUGAACGCUGGCGGCAUGCCUUACACAUGCAAGUCGAACGGUAACGGGCCUUCGGGUGCCGACGAGUGGCGAACGGGUGAGUAAUGCAUCGGAACGUACCUUUCAGUGGGGGGUAACGUAGCGAAAGUUACGCUAAUACCGCAUAUUCUGUGCGCAGGAAAGCAGGGGAUCGCAAGACCUUGCGCUGAUUGAGCGGCCGAUGUCAGAUUAGCUAGUUGGUGAGGUAAAGGCUCACCAAGGCGACGAUCUGUAGCGGGUCUGAGAGGAUGAUCCGCCACACUGGAACUGAGACACGGUCCAGACUCCUACGGGAGGCAGCAGUGGGGAAUUUUGGACAAUGGGGGCAACCCUGAUCCAGCCAUGCCGCGUGAGUGAAGAAGGCCUUCGGGUUGUAAAGCUCUUUCGGCCGGGAAGAAAUCGCAUGGGUUAAUACCCUGUGCGGAUGACGGUACCGGCAUAAGAAGCACCGGCUAACUACGUGCCAGCCGCCGCGGUAACAC
rnacentral:rRNA from 1 species